CCCACAGACUCACAUAUGUGGUUUUAGGAGAUUUCUGUCAGUGGGAAAUCAUUCUGAGCAAUUGACGUGAAUAACAAGGGCAAGACUAUCUAGAACAAUUCUAGAUUCUGAACACUGAAAGAAUUCUUAUUUAGAAGACGCUGGGUGGAGAAGAUCCAGUGGACCAGAGGAAGCCACAGAACAGCAUGAGGAGUGAAGGAAAUCUUCAUGUGGGAAAUGCAGCAUGGAAGAAGCAGAUUCCUGAGCUCAAAGAGACUUCCCCAGAGACUUCCCCUACCAAGUUGCAAGACUUAGAUAUGACAUCUGUGUUCAGAGAGACCUGGGAGAAAAAUACAGAAGUUUGGAACAAGUGGGAUACUCAGAAGUCCUCCUGGAGAAACGUUUGAACAGUUUAGCAUGCUUCCUCAAAAUGAUACCCGUGAUGUCAUCACUCAAAACUCUGCAUGCCUGCCUAUCACAUGCAUCUCCUAGGUGGCCACCAAAUCUGAAAGUGUUUUUGAUAUAAAGGCACAUCAGACGCUCAAAUUAUUUAUGUCAACUACCAUUGAGAUAGGAAAAAAUAUGUCGUAAGAACUCAUUACUACUCAAUAAACAGAGAUAAGUUAAGGGUA